rnacentral:lncRNA from 1 species
GAAGACAAUGAGACCAGUUGCUCCCUCUCCAUACCCCUGACAGCUAGAGAGGAGCUUAACCCAAUUGAUGCUCCAAUGGAAAGACACUGAAACAGUGAGAAUUAUUCACAGAAGUGGUGAUGUUGAAAGUUCAGCCAUUUAGUAGUUCCACCUGUCCAGGGGUGACAGCACAAAUGACAGCAUUUUGAGACUUUUCUUGUGGUGUAAA